GCAGUCGAGCGGCAGCACGGGGAGCUUGCUCCCUGGUGGCGAGCGGCGGACGGGUGAGUAAUGCAUAGGAAUCUGCCCGGUAGUGGGGGAUAACCUGGGGAAACCCAGGCUAAUACCGCAUACGUCCUACGGGAGAAAGCGGGGGCUCUUCGGACUUUGCGCUAUCGGAUUGGCGGCUAAUAUCCGUCAGAAGGACAUCACUCGCAGAAGAAGCACGGCUAACUCCGUGCCAGCAGCCGCGGUAUACGGAGGGUGCGAGCGUUAAUCGGAAUUACUGGGCGUAAAGCGCGCGUAGGUGGUUUGGCACGCCGGUUGUGAAAGCCCCGGGCUCAACCUGGGAACGGCAUCCGGAACGGCCAGACUAGAGUGCAGGAGAGGAAGGUAGAAUUCCCGGUGUAGCGGUGAAAUGCGUAGAGAUCGGGAGGAAUACCAGUGGCGAAGGCGGCCUUCUGGCCUGACACUGACACUGAGGUGCGAAAGCGUGGGUAGCAAACAGGAUUAGAUACCCUGGUAGUCCACGCCGUAAACGAUGUCGACUAGCCGUUGGGACCUUUAAGGACUUAGUGGCGCAGUUAACGCGAUAAGUCGACCGCCUGGGGAGUACGGCCGCAAGGUUAAAACUCAAAUGAAUUGACGGGGGCCCGCACAAGCGGUGGAGCAUGUGGUUUAAUUCGAUGCAACGCGAAGAACCUUACCUACCCUUGACAUCCAGAGACUUGGCAGAGAUGCCUUGGUGCUUCGGGAGCUCUGAGACAGGUGCUGCAUGGCUGUCGUCAGCUCGUGUUGUGAAAUGUUGGGUUAAGUCCCGUAACGAGCGCAACCCUUGUCCUUAUUUGCCAGCACGUAAUGGUGGGAACUCUAAGGAGACUGCCGGUGACGAAAGCCGGCCUCAGUCCGGAUCGGAGUCUGCAACUCGACUCCGUGAAGUCGGAAUCGCUAGUAAUCGUGAAUCAGAAUGUCACGGUGAAUACGUUCCCGGGCCUUGUACACACCGCCCGUCACACCAUGGGAGUGGACUGCACCAGAAGUGGUUAGC
rnacentral:rRNA from 1 species